GGUUGUGGCUCAGUGGCAGGGUGCUUGCCUAGCCUGUGUGAGGCACUGGGUUCAAUCCUCAGCACCA
rnacentral:tRNA from 1 species